UUUCACCACAAAUCUAAUAUACCCCAAUACUCAUUUUGAGUAUCGGGUAUAAAAAUAGUUUUAUAUGUUUGACAUAGAAAAUGGCUAUAACAGCAAAAUAUAUUUUGUAUGGAAAAAAAUUUCCUAAGAGCAAGUUUUUGGGAAAUGAACUCUCUUAAUAAUUAAUGCAGUUGAACUUAUGGUCCUGAAGUUUAUUUAGUCUACUGUGCAUUGAGCCUGCCAAGUUUUGUUUUGUACUGGAUAUUGAACAUAUUGAAGACUUUAGCACUAAAGGCAGCCCAUAUCAUAAGCGAUCCAUCACCAUGGUUUGGCUUGUAGCAAGUUGCCCGUGGAUGACGCGGGUCUCUCCAAUAUAUAUAUGAUAGACAUCUGAAUUGUCUAAAAUCAAUUUUUUCAUCACUAAAAAUUCAAUUUUAUAAUUCGUGGUGCCAGAACUUGUGUUUUUCAAAAGGACAUCAUUAUGACGUUUGGUUAAGCGGUGUUUGCCCACUUUCUUUUGAUAUGUGAGGUUACAAUUUUCGUUCAAAAAUGGGCUCACACGUUGCCUGGGGAUUGUCAACCCGAGUUCUGCCUUGAUUUUGCACAUAUAUGUUUUCAACGUAGAGCGCGACUUUGAUCUCUGAUGGUACCACAAAUGUGGUUUAAAGAACACGAAAAUUUGUAAUAACUGAGCACAACAAUAAGAGAUAAGAACUGCAUAGUCAAACCAAACAAGCAUCUAUUACUGUUUAAGAAAAAUUUAAAAUAAUUCAUAGCCAUUUUACACAGUAUACUCACAUACUUUUUUUUGUGUGUCCUUUACGCAAUAAAAACAAAUUAACAGCUAAAUUUUAA